rnacentral:rRNA from 1 species
CACCCUACAACUAGCCACACAUCCUAAAAUCAACCUCUUUACAUAAAUACCCCCCAACUCCCCACCCCGCCACGUUAAACAAACCAUUUUUCCCCCUUAGUAUAGGCGAUAGAAAAGGGCCAGCUGUGAGCGAUAGAGAAAGUACCGCAAGGGAAAACUGAAAAAGAAAUGAAAUAAUUACAUAAGUUAACAGAAGCAGAGACUAAACCUCGUACCUCUUGCAUAAUGAUUUAGCCAGCAAACCCAAGCGAAGUGGACUUCAGUUUGUGCCCCCGAAACUAGGCGAGCUACUCCAAGACAGCCUUCAAGGGCAAACCCGUCUCUGUGGCAAAAGAGUGGGAAGAGCUUAGAGUAGAGGUGAUACGCCUACCGAGCCUAGUUAUAGCUGGUUGCCUGGGAAAUGAAUAGAAGUUCAGCCUUCCAGCUCUUAUUGCCCACCCCCACCCCUGGCGCCAAAAGAACCUGAAAGAGUUAGUCAAAGGGGGUACAGCCCCUUUGACAGAAGAAACAGCUUUACCAUGAGGAUAAAGAUCGGCUAAAACCCCUCACACUUAAGUAGGCCUGGAAGCAGCCAUCAUGAAAAAUAGCGUUAAAGCUUGAAAUUCCCUUACAGCCCACAAUGCCUAAAACCCAGUCUCACUCCCAUAGAUAUACCAGGCCCUCUCAUGCACCCAUGGGAAAGAUUAUGCUAAAAUGAGUAAUAAGGGGUCGCACCCCUCCCCGCGCAGGUGUACGUCGGUAAGGACCACCCACCGAUCUUUAACAGGCCCCCAUAAAAGAGGGCUAUGAGGGAGAAAUAAAAUACAAGAAAAUACCUCAUUAACACACCGUUAACCCCACACAGGCGUGCCUCCCGGGAAAGACUAAUUGAAGGAGAAGGAACUCGGCAAAUAUUCUACAAGCCUCGCCUGUUUACCAAAAACAUCGCCUCCUGCAAUUUACGAAUAGGAGGUCUUGCCUGCCCGGUGACUUAUAGUUUAACGGCCGCGGUAUUAUGACCGUGCAAAGGUAGCAUAAUCAUUUGUCCUUUAAAUGGGGACCCGUAUGAAUGGCACGACGAGGGCUUAACUGUCUCCCCCUUCCGGUCAAUGAAAUUGAUCUUCCUGUGAAAAAGCAGGAAUAUAGACAUAAGACGAGAAGACCCUAUGGAACUUUAGACACUAGAGCAGACCAUAUCAAUAAGCCCCACCUUGCACCGGGGAAAAAACCAAGUGGCACCCCUGCUCAAAUGUCUUUGGUUGGGGCGACCACGGGGGAAAGAAAGCCCCCGCGCGGAAUAGGCACAACCCUGCCUUCAACGAAGAGUUCCCGCUCUAGUUAACAGGAUUUCUUGACCAGACGGAUCCGGCAACGCCGACCUACGGACCGAGCUACCCUAGGGAUAACAGCGCAAUCUCCCCCAAGAGGCCUUAUCGACGGGGAGGCUUACGACCUCGAUGUUGGAUCAGGACAUCCUAUUGGUGCAGCCGCUAUUAAGGGUUCGUUUGUUCAACGAUUAAUAGUCCUACGUGAUCUGAGUUCAGACCGGAGUAAUCCAGGUCAGUUUCUAUCUAUGACUUGGUCUUUUCUAGUACGCAAGGACCGAGAAGACAGGGCCCCUGCUAAAAGUACACCCCAACCCAACUAAUGAAAGCAACUAAAAUAGACAACAAAGCAUUCC